rnacentral:rRNA from 1 species
GACGAACGCUGGCGGCGUGCCUAAUACAUGCAAGUAGAACGCACAGUUUAUACCGUAGCUUGCUACACCAUACACUGUGAGUUGCGAACGGGUGAGUAACGCGUAGGUAACCUGCCUGGUAGCGGGGGAUAACUAUUGGAAACGAUAGCUAAUACCGCAUAAUAUUGAUUAUUGCAUGAUAAUUGAUUGAAAGAUGCUAUUGCAUCACUACCAGAUGGACCUGCGUUGUAUUAGCUAGUAGGUGAGGUAACGGCUCACCUAGGCGACGAUACAUAGCCGACCUGAGGGGGUGAUCGGCCACACUGGGACUGAGACACGGCCCAGACGCCUACGGGAGGCAGCAGUAGGGAAUCUUCGGCAAUGGACGAAAGUCUGACCGAGCAACGCCGCGUGAGGGAAGAAGGGUUUCGGAUCGUAAAGCUCGGUUGUAAGAGAAGAACGGGUGUGAGAGUGGAAAGUUCACACUGUGACGGUAUCUGACCAGAAAGGGACGGCUAACUACGUG